AGAGUUUGAUCAUGGCUCAGGAUGAACGCUAGCUACAGGCUUAACACAUGCAAGUCGAGGGGAAACGACAUCGAAAGCUUGCUUUUGAUGGGCGUCGACCGGCGCACGGGUGAGUAACGCGUAUCCAACCUGCCCACCACUUGGGGAUAACCUUGCGAAAGUAAGACUAAUACCCAAUGAUAUCUCUAGAAGACAUCUGAAAGAGAUUAAAGAUUUAUCGGUGAUGGAUGGGGAUGCGUCUGAUUAGCUUGUUGGGCGGGGUAACGGCCACCAAGGCGACGAUCAGGUAGGGGUUCUGAGAGGAACGGUCCCCCANAUUGGAACUGAGACACGGUCCAAACUCCGUACGGGAGGCA
rnacentral:rRNA from 1 species